UCUGGUUCCAUUUUGCCUGGAAGGAAACUCGGGCUCAAAGAACCCAGGGUCCCACCGAGAAUGACACCCAGGCUGAGGAGGAAACAGUCCACUCUUCACACAGAGCUUUCAGGUUAAUCACCCUGGGAAAUGAGAUCCUGGUGGCAGACCACAGAAGACACAAAGGACCGCGUGGAAGGUCAUGCUACCACUACCAGUUCCAGACAACUUCCUCCUGAGCAUCAGACCAAGUCCCAGCUGCCACUUGUUCUUAGCACUGUGAAUCUGCAUAAGUGAUUUCAAGUCUGCUUCUCCAUUCAUAAAUCGAGGAUGGCAAGAUGACCCUAAGGGCAUAUCGUGGGAAUCAUGGAGCACCAAAAACAGUGCCCUGCUUGGUGAGGUGACCCAGGUGAGAGAUGGGGACUUCAUGCUGAGAACCUUUCUCCAAAGCCAUCAAAUCCCAUGCGUCCAAUCCUGUGCUGCUUUCUGAGAAAAACAGAUUCAAGGAUCAGUUCUAGGCACACAGAGCUGGACUCCAUGUUCCCACCAUGAGACCAGUGACUCCAGAAGGUGGAUCAUCCAUCAUCUAGGUCCUGGAAGGAGGACAGCUCAGAGGUGAGCCCUAUACCAGCCCAAGGUGAUCAUACUUGUGUUGUGUC